ensembl:lncRNA
GGCUAACAGAGAGAGGCUAACACAGAGAGGCUAACAGAGAGAGACUAACACAGAGAGAGAGGCUAAUACAGAGAGGAUAACAGAGAGAGAGAGGCUAACAGAGAGAGACUAACACACAGAGAGAGAGAGGCUAACACAGAGAGGAUAACAGAGAGAGGCUAACAGAGAGAGACUAACACAGAGAGAGAGAGGCUAACACAGAGAGGAUAACAGAGAGAGAGAGACUAACACAGAGAGAGAGAGGCUAAUACAGAGAGGAUAACAGAGAGAGGCUAAGAGAGAGAGACUAACACAGAGAGAGAGAGGCUAACACAGAGAGGAUAACAGAGAGAUAGGGUCUAACAGAGAGAGAGAGAGGGGCUAACAGAGAGAGGCUAACAGAGAGAGACUAACACAGAGAGAGAGAGGCUAACACAGAGAGGAUAACAGAGAGAGAGAGGCUAACAGAGAGAGAGAGAGAGGCUAACACAGAGAGGCUAACAGAGAGAGAGAGGCUAACAGAGAGAGGCUAACACAGAGAGAGAGAGGCUAACACAGAGAGGCUAACGCAGAGAGAGGCUAACAGAGAGAGAGAGGGGCUAACAGAGAGAGGCUAACACAGAGAGGCUAACAGAGAGAGAGAGGCUAACACAGAGAGAGAGAGAGGCUAACACAGAGAGGCUAACACAGAGAGAGAGAGAGGCUAACACAGAGAGGCUAACACAGAGAGGCUAACAGAGAGAGAGAGAGGCUAAUAGGUCGAGGCUAACAGAGAGAGACUAACACAGAGAGAGGCUAACACAGAGAGAGAGAGGCUAACACAGAGAGAGCCUAACACAGAGAGAGAGGCUAACACAGAGAGAGGCUAACACAGAGAGAGGCUAAAACAGAGAGAGGCUAACACAGAGAGAGAGGCUAUCACAGAGAGAGAGGCUAUCACAGAGAGAGGCUAACACGGAGAGGCUGAGGGUCCCUCCUGUUCUGCUGCUGACACCUCCAGAUGUUUAGUUCAGAUGCAGAGCCCCCUGUGGGUGGACGGAGGGAGCGGCAGGUGCUGACGGGGCUUUACUCAGACAGGCUCCUCUGUCAAUGUACGUCACAGUUUGUAUUCAGUGUUGAGUUAAUAUUUAAAAUGAUUAAAUGUGAUCUGUUGGAGUGUGUGCCGCAGGUUCAGUGAGGAAACAAAAUCGACUGCAACAUGUGACACAAUUUUCUGCACAUUCAAGAGUUAAAACUGUAACUCUGAGCUGCCUGUCGUGAAUGAGACUAUUUUUGGU